rnacentral:ncRNA from 2 species
AACCCUACAGGUGAUGGAGUUCACCUUUAACCGCCGGAAGGCUAAUGACUCCUGUCAGUGU